UAUAAAUAAAUAAGUAGAUAAAUGGAGGUUUGAUCAUGAUAUGUUCAUUGUUUGAUCUAUAGUGUAGAUAAAUUUUAUUUCCUUUAUUCCUUAGGGUGAGUGCACCUCUUACUUAAUUCAACCUAUUUAUUUACAGGGUUCACAUCUCUGCUAUCUAUAGAGUGGAUCUCUCUGAUUUUCAUCCACUAAUUUGCAUUGUUGAAGAAUGGAGACCAUGCACAUGAAGCUAAGUUUUUAUGGCUUCAGAAGAAACUCUUUUGGAUGUUCUCACCAGUGGUCAUGAGAGCAGACUUGACUGCAGCCGGAGUCCAUUCACGGUGGAACGAUUUCACAUAGGCGGCAGCGCCGGCGGCAUGAGGACAAGCCAUAGAAGUUCCUGACAGUAUAUUAAAGGAUUGAAAACGGUUGUCCUCAGGUUCAGGGUAAGUUGUUAUGGUUUCCAACUUUGAAUAACCAGCUAGAAUGUCAACUCCUGGAGCAGCCAAAUCAGGCUGCAAAAAUAAAAAUCAAGUGCUUCAUAAGAAGGAAAAUUACCAAAUGCAAUUAUAAGCUUAAGAUAUCUAAGAGAUUGUAGAUGAAUCAUGAAUGAUGAUCACCUUGAGGAUUUUGGAGGUGAUUAAUUCAGGUCCUCUAGAUGAGAAAGAAGCAAUAUAUGGAACUUGGCCUGUUUUGCUUGUGGUUUUGUAUAUAACAGCUUGAGGAUUCCUGAGUUCAUAAAUAUUUAGAUUGGUAGACAUAUAUUUAUUUAGAUAAGAAGAUAGAUAGAAAAUAGGUUACCCUGUCUCUAUCUUGUAGCAAAAUUUGUCUAACUUUUUAUCUAAGAACUGUGGUAUAGGGAAAUGAUAAUGUCACUUCCAUUUUACUUUUUUGCAUCAUAUAUUUUGUAUGAAUUUUUUAGAAAAAUGAAUGGUAUUAUCAAAAUAGGAGUGACAAUAUCCAUUCUCUAAUAUAUAGUGACAGAACAUUUUUCUGUCUCGAAACACUUAUCAAACAUGGAGUGAAAGAGCUAAACAAACUCUAAAUACC